rnacentral:snRNA from 1 species
GUGCUUGCUUCGGCAGCACGUCCGAUAAAAUCAGAAGGAUACAGAGAGAAGUAGCAUGCGCCCGUGCAAGCAUGAUGAAGCAUUCUGUGUUUUU